rfam:Herbaspirillum sp. CF444 PMI16_contig_156.156, whole genome shotgun sequence.
GAACUGAAGAGUUUGAUCCUGGCUCAGAUUGAACGCUGGCGGCAUGCCUUACACAUGCAAGUCGAACGGCAGCACGGGAGCUUGCUCCUGGUGGCGAGUGGCGAACGGGUGAGUAAUAUAUCGGAACGUGCCCUAGAGUGGGGGAUAACUAGUCGAAAGAUUAGCUAAUACCGCAUACGAUCUAAGGAUGAAAGUGGGGGAUCGCAAGACCUCAUGCUCGUGGAGCGGCCGAUAUCUGAUUAGCUAGUUGGUGAGGUAAAGGCUCACCAAGGCGACGAUCAGUAGCUGGUCUGAGAGGACGACCAGCCACACUGGAACUGAGACACGGUCCAGACUCCUACGGGAGGCAGCAGUGGGGAAUUUUGGACAAUGGGCGCAAGCCUGAUCCAGCAAUGCCGCGUGAGUGAAGAAGGCCUUCGGGUUGUAAAGCUCUUUUGUCAGGGAAGAAACGGUCUUGGUUAAUACCUGGGGCUAAUGACGGUACCUGAAGAAUAAGCACCGGCUAACUACGUGCCAGCAGCCGCGGUAAUACGUAGGGUGCAAGCGUUAAUCGGAAUUACUGGGCGUAAAGCGUGCGCAGGCGGUUGUGCAAGACAGAUGUGAAAUCCCCGGGCUCAACCUGGGAAUUGCAUUUGUGACUGCACGGCUAGAGUGUGUCAGAGGGGGGUAGAAUUCCACGUGUAGCAGUGAAAUGCGUAGAUAUGUGGAGGAAUACCGAUGGCGAAGGCAGCCCCCUGGGAUAACACUGACGCUCAUGCACGAAAGCGUGGGGAGCAAACAGGAUUAGAUACCCUGGUAGUCCACGCCCUAAACGAUGUCUACUAGUUGUCGGGUCUUAAUUGACUUGGUAACGCAGCUAACGCGUGAAGUAGACCGCCUGGGGAGUACGGUCGCAAGAUUAAAACUCAAAGGAAUUGACGGGGACCCGCACAAGCGGUGGAUGAUGUGGAUUAAUUCGAUGCAACGCGAAAAACCUUACCUACCCUUGACAUGUACGGAAGGCCGAAGAGAUUUGGCUGUGCUCGAAAGAGAACCGUAACACAGGUGCUGCAUGGCUGUCGUCAGCUCGUGUCGUGAGAUGUUGGGUUAAGUCCCGCAACGAGCGCAACCCUUGUCAUUAGUUGCUACGAAAGGGCACUCUAAUGAGACUGCCGGUGACAAACCGGAGGAAGGUGGGGAUGACGUCAAGUCCUCAUGGCCCUUAUGGGUAGGGCUUCACACGUCAUACAAUGGUACAUACAGAGGGCCGCCAACCCGCGAGGGGGAGCUAAUCCCAGAAAGUGUAUCGUAGUCCGGAUUGUAGUCUGCAACUCGACUACAUGAAGUUGGAAUCGCUAGUAAUCGCGGAUCAGCAUGUCGCGGUGAAUACGUUCCCGGGUCUUGUACACACCGCCCGUCACACCAUGGGAGCGGGUUCUGCCAGAAGUAGUUAGCCUAACCGCAAGGAGGGCGAUUACCACGGCAGGGUUCGUGACUGGGGUGAAGUCGUAACAAGGUAGCCGUAUCGGAAGGUGCGGCUGGAUCACCUCCUUU